rnacentral:rRNA from 1 species
CGGGUGAGUAACGCGUGGGUAACCUGCCUCAUACAGGGGGAUAACAGUUAGAAAUGACUGCUAAUACCGCAUAAGCGCACAGAAUCGCAUGAUUCGGUGUGAAAAACUCCGGUGGUAUGAGAUGGACCCGCGUCUGAUUAGCUAGUUGGUGGGGUAAGGGCCUACCAAGGCGACGAUCAGUAGCCGACCUGAGAGGGUGAUCGGCCACAUUGGGACUGAGACACGGCCCAAACUCCUACGGGAGGCAGCAG